rnacentral:rRNA from 1 species
UACGUAGGGUGCGAGCGUUAAUCGGAAUUACUGGGCGUAAAGCGUGCGCAGGCGGCUAUUUAAGCUUGCUGUGAAAGCCCCGGGCUUAACCUGGGAAUGGCAGUGAGGACUGGAUGGCUGGAGUGUGGCAGAGGGGGGUGGAAUUCCACGUGUAGCAGUGAAAUGCGUAGAGAUGUGGAGGAACACCGAUGGCGAAGGCAGCCCCCUGGGCUAACACUGACGCUCAUGCACGAAAGCGUGGGGAGCAAACAGG